rnacentral:rRNA from 1 species
GACGAACGCUGGCGGCGCGCUUAACACAUGCAAGUCGAACGGAAAGGCCCUGCUUUUGUGGGGUGCUCGAGUGGCGAACGGGUGAGUAACACGUGAGUAACCUGCCCUUGACUUUGGGACAACUUCAGGAAACUGGGGCUAAUACCGGAUAGGAGCUCCAGCCGAAUGGGGGGGGUUGGAAAGUUUCGGCGGUUGGGGAUGGACUCGCGGCUUAUCAGCUUGUUGGUGGGGUAGUGGCUUACCAAGGCUUUGACGGGUAGCCGGCCUGAGAGGGUGACCGGCCACAUUGGAACUGGAAUAACGCCCAGAGUCCUACGGGAGGCAACAAUGGGGACAAUUGCAGGAUAGCGAGGGUCCUGAUGCAACAACGCCGCAUGAUGAAUGACAGCCUUCGGGUUGUAAACCGCUUUCGCCUGUGACGUAGCGAGAGUGACGGUAAUGGGUAAAGAAGCACCGGCUAACUACGUG